rnacentral:rRNA from 1 species
AGGCUUAACACAUGCAAGUCGAGGGGCAGCAUGGUCUUAGCUUGCUAAGGCCGAUGGCGACCGGCGCACGGGUGAGUAACACGUAUCCAACCUGCCGUCUACUCUUGGACAGCCUUCUGAAAGGAAGAUUAAUACAAGAUGGCAUCAUGAGUCCGCAUGUUCACAUGAUUAAAGGUAUUCCGGUAGACGAUGGGGAUGCGUUCCAUUAGAUAGUAGGCGGGGUAACGGCCCACCUAGUCUUCGAUGGAUAGGGGUUCUGAGAGGAAGGUCCCCCACAUUGGAACUGAGACACGGUCCAAACUCCUACGGGAGGCAGCAGUGAGGAAUAUUGGUCAAUGGGCGAGAGCCUGAACCAGCCAAGUAGCGUGAAGGAUGACUGCCCUAUGGGUUGUAAACUUCUUUUAUAAAGGAAUAAAGUCGGGUAUGGAUACCCGUUUGCAUGUACUUUAUGAAUAAGGAUCGGCUAACUCCGUGCCAGCAGCCGCGGUAAUACGGAGGAUCCGAGCGUUAUCCGGAUUUAUUGGGUUUAAAGGGAGCGUAGAUGGAUGUUUAAGUCAGUUGUGAAAGUUUGCGGCUCAACCGUAAAAUUGCAGUUGAUACUGGAUAUCUUGAGUGCAGUUGAGGCAGGCGGAAUUCGUGGUGUAGCGGUGAAAUGCUUAGAUAUCACGAAGAACUCCGAUUGCGAAGGCAGCCUGCUAAGCUGCAACUGACAUUGAGGCUCGAAAGUGUGGGUAUCAAACAGGAUUAGAUACCCUGGUAGUCCACACGGUAAACGAUGAAUACUCGCUGUUUGCGAUAUACUGCAAGCGGCCAAGCGAAAGCGUUAAGUAUUCCACCUGGGGAGUACGCCGGCAACGGUGAAACUCAAAGGAAUUGACGGGGGCCCGCACAAGCGGAGGAACAUGUGGUUUAAUUCGAUGAUACGCGAGGAACCUUACCCGGGCUUAAAUUGCAGAUGAAUUACGGUGAAAGCCGUAAGCCGCAAGGCAUCUGUGAAGGUGCUGCAUGGUUGUCGUCAGCUCGUGCCGUGAGGUGUCGGCUUAAGUGCCAUAACGAGCGCAACCCUUGUUGUCAGUUACUAACAGGUUCCGCUGAGGACUCUGACAAGACUGCCAUCGUAAGAUGUGAGGAAGGUGGGGAUGACGUCAAAUCAGCACGGCCCUUACGUCCGGGGCUACACACGUGUUACAAUGGGGGGUACAGAGGGCCGCUACCACGCGAGUGGAUGCCAAUCCCCAAAACCUCUCUCAGUUCGGACUGGAGUCUGCAACCCGACUCCACGAAGCUGGAUUCGCUAGUAAUCGCGCAUCAGCCACGGCGCGGUGAAUACGUUCCCGGGCCUUGUACACACCGCCCGUCAAGCCAUGGGAGCCGGGGGUACCUGAAGUACGUAACCGCAAGGAUCGUCCUAGGGUAAAACUGGUGACUGGGGCUAA